GCUGCCGUAGCACAGUGGUAGUGCACUCCCUUGGUAAGGGAGAGGUCGUAGGUUCGAUCCCCACCGGCAGCACCA
rnacentral:tRNA from 1 species